UCAUACUUCUUUGCAUAUAUAUGAUCCUAUCUAAUUUUAGAAGCUAAGCAGGGUCAGACCUGGUUAGAAUUUGUAUGAGAGACCUACACAAAACACCAGGGAA
rnacentral:rRNA from 1 species